rnacentral:rRNA from 1 species
GACGAACGCUGGCGGCGUGCCUAAUACAUGCAAGUAGAACGCUGAAGGAGGAGCUUGCUUCUCUGGAUGAGUUGCGAACGGGUGAGUAACGCGUAGGUAACCUGCCUGGUAGCGGGGGAUAACUAUUGGAAACGAUAGCUAAUACCGCAUAAUAGUAGAUGUUGCAUGACAUUUGCUUAAAAGGUGCAAUUGCAUCACUACCAGAUGGACCUGCGUUGUAUUAGCUAGUUGGUGGGGUAACGGCUCACCAAGGCGACGAUACAUAGCCGACCUGAGAGGGGGAUCGGCCAAACUGGGACUGAGACACGGCCCAGACUCCUACGGGAGGCAGCAGUAGGGAAUCUUCGGCAAUGGACGGAAGGCUGAACGAGCAACGCCGCGUGAGUGAAGAAGGUUUUCGGAUCGUAAAGCUCUGUUGUAAGAGAAGAACGAGUGUGAGAGUGGAAAGUUCACACUGUGACGGUAUCUUACCAGAAAGGGACGGCUAACUACGUG